rnacentral:rRNA from 1 species
CUAUCUACAGGCUUAACACAUGCAAGUCGAGGGGCAUCAGGAAGAAAGCUUGCUUUCUUUGCUGGCGACCGGCGCACGGGUGAGUAACACGUAUCCAACCUGCCCUUUACUCGGGGAUAGCCUUUCGAAAGAAAGAUUAAUACCCGAUAGCAUAAUGAUUCCGCAUGGUUUCAUUAUUAAAGGAUUCCGGUAAAGGAUGGGGAUGCGUUCCAUUAGGUUGUUGGUGAGGUAACGGCCCACCAAGCCUUCGAUGGAUAGGGGUUCUGAGAGGAAGGUCCCCCACAUUGGAACUGAGACACGGUCCAAACUCCUACGGGAGGCAGCAGUGAGGAAUAUUGGUCAAUGGGCGCUAGCCUGAACCAGCCAAGUAGCGUGAAGGAUGAAGGCUCUAUGGGUCGUAAACUUCUUUUAUAUAAGAAUAAAGUGCAGUAUGUAUACUGUUUUGUAUGUAUUAUAUGAAUAAGGAUCGGCUAACUCCGUGCCAGCAGCCGCGGUAAUACGGAGGAUCCGAGCGUUAUCCGGAUUUAUUGGGUUUAAAGGGAGCGUAGGUGGACUGGUAAGUCAGUUGUGAAAGUUUGCGGCUCAACCGUAAAAUUGCAGUUGAUACUGUCAGUCUUGAGUACAGUAGAGGUGGGCGGAAUUCGUGGUGUAGCGGUGAAAUGCUUAGAUAUCACGAAGAACUCCGAUUGCGAAGGCAGCUCACUGGACUGCAACUGACACUGAUGCUCGAAAGUGUGGGUAUCAAACAGGAUUAGAUACCCUGGUAGUCCACACAGUAAACGAUGAAUACUCGCUGUUUGCGAUAUACAGUAAGCGGCCAAGCGAAAGCAUUAAGUAUUCCACCUGGGGAGUACGCCGGCAACGGUGAAACUCAAAGGAAUUGACGGGGGCCCGCACAAGCGGAGGAACAUGUGGUUUAAUUCGAUGAUACGCGAGGAACCUUACCCGGGCUUAAAUUGCAGUGGAAUGAUGUGGAAACAUGUCAGUGAGCAAUCACCGCUGUGAAGGUGCUGCAUGGUUGUCGUCAGCUCGUGCCGUGAGGUGUCGGCUUAAGUGCCAUAACGAGCGCAACCCUUAUCUUUAGUUACUAACAGGUUAUGCUGAGGACUCUAGAGAGACUGCCGUCGUAAGAUGUGAGGAAGGUGGGGAUGACGUCAAAUCAGCACGGCCCUUACGUCCGGGGCUACACACGUGUUACAAUGGGGGGUACAGAAGGCAGCUAGCGGGUGACCGUAUGCUAAUCCCAAAAGCCUCUCUCAGUUCGGAUCGAAGUCUGCAACCCGACUUCGUGAAGCUGGAUUCGCUAGUAAUCGCGCAUCAGCCACGGCGCGGUGAAUACGUUCCCGGGCCUUGUACACACCGCCCGUCAAGCCAUGGGAGCCGGGGGUACCUGAAGUACGUAACCGCAAGGAUCGUCCUAGGGUAAAACUGGUGACUG